rnacentral:rRNA from 1 species
CUACGGGUGGCAGCAGUGGGGAAUAUUGCACAAUGGGCGCAAGCCUGAUGCAGCCAUGCCGCGUGUAUGAAGAAGGCCUUCGGGUUGUAAAGUACUUUCAGCGGGGAGGAAGGGAGUAAAGUUAAUACCUUUGCUCAUUGACGUUACCCGCAGAAGAAGCACCGGCUAACUCCGUGCCAGCAGCCGCGGGAAUACGGAGGGUGCAAGGUUAAUCGGAAUUACUGGGCGUAAAGCGCACGCAGGCGGUUUGUUAAGUCAGAUGUGAAAUCCCCGGGCUCAACCUGGGAACUGCAUCUGAUACUGGCAAGCUUGAGUCUCGUAGAGGGGGGUAGAAUUCCAGGUGUAGCGGUGAAAUGCGUAGAGAUCUGGAGGAAUACCGGUGGCGAAGGCGGCCCCCUGGACGAAGACUGACGCUCAGGUGCGAAAGCGUGGGGAGCAAACAGGAUUAGAUACCCCAGUAGUC